GAUGAACGCUGGCGGCGUGCCUAAUACAUGCAAGUCGAACGCAUUGUGGUUGAAAUGAUAUGAAGAACUUGUUCAGAUUUGAUUUUCAACAUUGCAAUGAGUGGCGAACGGGUGAGUAACACGUGGGAAACCUACCUCUUAGCAGGGGAUAACAUUUGGAAACAAAUGCUAAUACCGUAUAAUAAUUAAAACCGCAUGGUUUUAGUUUAAAAGAUGGUCUUGCUAUCACUAAGAGAUGGUCCCGCGGUGUAUUAGUUAGUUGGUGAGGUAAUGGCUCACCAAGACAAUGAUACAUAGCCGAGUUGAGAGACUGACCGGCACAAUGGGACUGAGACACGGCCCAUACUCCUACGGAGGCAGCAGUAGGGAA
rnacentral:rRNA from 1 species